GUGCUCACUUUGGCAGUAUAUUUACUAAAAUGGGAACAAUAAGAGAAGAUCAGUGGGGCUUGUGUGCAAGAAUGACACUUCAAUUUGUGAGGCAUUCCUUAUGUAA